rnacentral:rRNA from 1 species
AUUGAACGCUGGCGGCAGGCCUAACACAUGCAAGUCGAGCGGAUGACGGGAGCUUGCUCCUUGAUUCAGCGGCGGACGGGUGAGUAAUGCCUAGGAAUCUGCCUGGUAGUGGGGGACAACGUUUCGAAAGGAACGCUAAUACCGCAUACGUCCUACGGGAGAAAGCAGGGGACCUUCGGGCCUUGCGCUAUCAGAUGAGCCUAGGUCGGAUUAGCUAGUAGGUGAGGUAAUGGCUCACCUAGGCGACGAUCCGUAACUGGUCUGAGAGGAUGAUCAGUACCACGGGAACUGAGACACGGUCCAGACUCCUACGGGAGGCAGCAGUGGGGAAUAUUGGACAAUGGGCGAAAGCCUGAUCCAGCCAUGCCGCGUGUGUGAAGAAGGUCUUCGGAUUGUAAAGCACUUUAAGUUGGGAGGAAGGGCAGUAAGUUAAUACCUUGCUGUUUUGACGUUACCGACAGAAUAAGCACCGGCUAACUCUGUGCCAGCCGCCGCGGUAAAAC